rnacentral:rRNA from 1 species
UGGGGAAUAUUGGGCAAUGGGCGCAAGCCUGACCCAGCAACGCCGCGUGAAGGAAGAAGGCUUUCGGGUUGUAAACUUCUUUUCUUGGGGACGAAACAAAUGACGGUACCCAAGGAAUAAGCCACGGCUAACUACGUGCCAGCAGCCGCGGUAAUACGUAGGUGGCAAGCGUUAUCCGGAUUUAUUGGGUGUAAGGGGCGUGUAGGCGGGACUGCAAGUCAGAUGUGAAAACUAUGGGCUCAACCCAUAGCCUGCAUUCGAAACUGUAGUUCUUGAGUGCUGGAGAGGCAAUCGGAAUUCCGUGUGUAGCGGUGAAAUGCGUAGAUAUACGGAGGAACACCAGUGGCGAAGGCGGAUUGCUGGACAGUAACUGACGCUGAGGCGCGAAAGCGUGGGGAGCAAACAGGAUUAGAUACC